AUGGCUAAAGGUCCAAAGGUAUCGCACCCCGAGUAUGUUGAUUUCAAUAGUGACGAAGAUGACUUGUUAGGUGAUGAUGAUUUACUUGUUGACAACUCUAGUGAUGAAUACUAUGAUGAAACGUCAAUUAAUCAUGCUAAUCAAGAUAAAACGAAUGACAAUGAUAAGGAGAAGAUUGAGUCUCUAACUAAAGAACCAAACACUCUUAGGUUAGCUCAUGAAACUAUCUUAGGAGAUCAUCGAGAACUUUUAAGGACUCAUGAGAAAUUACGCUUUGAAAAGCUCAACCUUGAGCAAGAGCAUGAGUUCUUAAAAGCAAUCAAUGAUGAUCUUCGCAAGAAAAGUUCUUCUUACAUUGCCAAGCGUUUACUCUUAUCCACUUACAUGCCUCAAGUCAAGUCUAGUAACAAGAACAAGAAAGAUUCUUCCUCUAGUAGUAACAAUAAUCAUGUUAAAUCCAAUAUUGUUGCUUCUAGAAGUUCUCUUGAUUCCACUAAUGAUUCUCUUAGCCAAGUUACACUUGAGCAAGAAAAUAGCUUAUUGAAGGGAAUUAUAGAGAAAGGUGUUUACAAGAGCCUUGCCGGAAGUAAGCAAUUCGAGGAAAUUGUACGCAAGCAAGGAAGGCACCGGAAGAAUCAAGGUGUUGGCUUUGAACGGAAGUUCAAUGCCAAUGGAGUUGAGUGGGAAGAAGAUCAAUACCCCAAGACAAAGUUUGUUCCUCAACAAGAGAAGUAUGAUCCUACUUCUCUCAAAGGGACACAAGCUCAAGAUGAUCUUCCACCACAAGACCACAAGACCACAAGCAAAAAGGCAAGGACAAGCUUUAAGAGGAAAUUGAUGCAUUUGAAGAAGCUCCUAAGGCCUUGGUCAAGUGGGUUCCCAAGACUACUUCAAGUUCCACUUCAUCAAGUACAACUACAACAUCGAGGAUUCCCAUCAAGAUGGUGUGGAUCCCGAAGAAGAAGAACUAGAGAGUUCUUGAGGGUGACUCCGUCAAUAUACUUCACUCUUCUCAUCUUGGCAAGAACAAGUGCAAUCAACUUCCACAUCUUGCACUAG
rnacentral:rRNA from 1 species